rfam:Strongylocentrotus purpuratus Contig44177_fixed, whole genome shotgun sequence.
GACAUGUUGGCUCAUUCAGUAGAGCGUCCGCCUCACAACCGGGAGGUCGUGGGUUCGAACCCCGGCCGCGUCA